rnacentral:rRNA from 1 species
AGCAGCCGCGGUAAUUCCAGCUCCAAUAGCGUAUAUUAAAGUUGUUGCAGUUAAAAAGCUCGUAGUUGAACUUCGGGGUUUACCCAUUGGUCAGGCUUAAUUGUCUGUACUGGUGAGAUGAAUCUCUACCUUCUGAGGAACUUUCAUGCCAUUUAUUUGGUGUGAUGGGAAAUCAGGACUGUUACUUUGAAAAAAUUAGAGUGUUUAAAGCAGGCUAACGUCUGAAUACAUUAGCAUGGAAUAAUGAAGUAGGACGGAUUGAUUCUAUUUCGUUGGUUUCUAGGAUCACCGUAAUGAUUAAUAGGGAUAGUUGGGCUGUUUAAAGCAGGCUAACGUCUGAAUACAUUAGCAUGGAAUAAUGAAAUAGGACGGAUUGAUUCUAUUUCGUUGGUUUCUAGGAUCACCGUA